CCUACGGGAGGCAGCAGUGAGGAAUAUUGGUCAAUGGGCGGGAGCCUGAACCAGCCAAGCCGCGUGAGGGAAGAAGGUCCAGCGUAUCGUAAACCUCUUUUGUCAGGGAACAAAGGCGGGGACUAGUCCCCGGAUGAGGGUACCUGAAGAAAAAGCAUCGGCUAACUCCGUGCCAGCAGCCGCGGUAAUACGGAGGAUGCGAGCGUUAUCCGGGUUUAUUGGGUUUAAAGGGUGCGCAGGCGGCCUGUUAAGUCAGCGGGAAAAGCCCGGGGUUCAACCCCGGCGAGCCGUUGAAACUGGCGGGCUGGAGUUGGAGAGAAGUACGCGGAAUGCGUGGUGUAGCGGUGAAAUGCUUAGAUAUCGCGCAGAACCCCGAUUGCGAAGGCAGCGUACCGGCUCCAAACUGACGCUGAGGCACGAAAGCGUGGGUAUCGAACAGGAUUAGAUACCCUUGUAGUC
rnacentral:rRNA from 1 species